rnacentral:rRNA from 1 species
GGGUUCUACCGUUGGUCAGGCAAUAGUCUGUACUGGCGUGUGGAAUUUCUACCUUCUGGGGAACCAUCAUGUUAUUUAUUUAGCGUGGUGGGAAACCAGGACCUUUACCUUGAAAAAAUUAGAGUGUUCAAAGCAGGCUUACGUCUGAAUACAUUAGCAUGGAAUAAUAAAAUAGGACGGUGGUCCUGUUUUGUUGGUUUCUGAAUCACCGUA